rnacentral:lncRNA from 1 species
UCCAAGUAACUAUCAAUGCUUUAUCACCCAUUUCCUCAAUGAACCCGUGUGGGACUUUCGGUAACUCGGAAGACCGAACCACCCACAAGAAAUGAAACCCAGUUUGCUUUAAACCCCGUGCGAGUUCCUUCAUUUGGUCGAUGGUUAGGUUAGCCAUGCUUCCAAAUGAGACGUAAAUGACCGAGCAUGGUGGCUUGGUGGUUAGCCAACAUGUACUGGUAGAGUCUAGUUUAAAGAGAUUGAGAUCGUAAUCUUUGUCGUUUUCAAGUCUUUUAUCUAAAUACAUGGAUGGGAUUGUUGGGCCUAUCGUUAACAAUGGUUGAGUCAUCACCUUCGACAUCGAAUCAACAACCUGUUUAUAUCAAAGAGAUCAUUACAAAAUGGUAAAAGUACCUUGCAUGUCCCUAUACCACUUGAUGCAUUUUUGUUUUUAUACUUUUAAAAAUAGUAACAAUAUAAUAGUGAAAUGAUAACAAAACAAUAAAAAUCAGUGAUAAAAUAGUAACAAAAAUAUUUUUUUUACAAAUUCGUGCCGAGCCUAGGCAAAAAAAAGCUUUCCCAUUUUUCGGGAUUAUAUUUUUGCCCAAAUCUUCUCACUUUUCAAGCUGGCCUUCGAGUUGAACUGGGUGACUCGGCUCAUGGAUAAGUCUAGGUUUUAGUUAGGGUUUUGAAACCAAUUCUCUAGCUAUCACUGCCACCGGGGUGAAUAGAAAUAUUUUUUUGUCUCAAUUUGGCACUUAAGUUUAGCUUAAAUAUUCAAUUUGAUACCUAAGUUUUUUUUGUCCCAAUUAGGUAUCUAUGUUUUGCUACAAGAAAACACAUGUCAAACAUUCAUUAGCAAUAUGAUGUCAUUUGGUUUGGAUACCAAAUUGAAAAAUGAAAUUAAACUUAAAUAUCAAAUUGAAAAAAAAACCCUUAAAAUACCAAAUUUAAAACUAAACUCAAUACUAAAUGAUAUAUUAACCGCUUGAAUUUCUCAAAAAAAUAGAUAAAUUUAAUAUAAUAAUAAAAUGAAAUAUUUAAAUACUAUUAGUUUAUAUUGAUACGAUUGACAUCGACAAUUAUUAUUAAUUGAAGUUAUUAUUAACUAAGCCCAAAAAUAUUAGAGCAGAACUCAAUCAAGUCCUAAAAUUGAGAAGAAAAGAGAGAGAGAGAGAGAGAGCCUUAUAUAGUUAAAAGUAAACUAACCUCUUGUUCCAACUUGUAGAAGCUAUUAACUAAAAUGAAAUCAACUUUGUCUAUAUUAGAGAAUUGAUUCAACACCAACUCGAAAUAAGAUGGAUACGAACCCACAACAUAGAUAAAUGACGGCAUGUCUCGAAGAUCAAGCAACGGCAACCCGGGAAUGACAAUUGGCAUCAUUGACGAUGAAAUCGGAAGACUCAAAAGCCCGUUACGAGCAUAAUAAUAUAUGUAAUCCACGGCGCACGCCUGCGUAAAAAAAGCGAUUCCAACAAUACCAAAUUGUUGGCCAACAUCAAGAACCCAUGGAAGGAAAGCAUCAUAGAGUAUGCAAUCAAUAGGAUGGGGUGAGUUCUUAUGCUUUAUGAUAAGUUCGGUCAAGGUUUUUGACCCAACAGUUUGUAAUCGUACAAGGUAAUCAUCAACACUCUCGACUUGUAAGAAUCCGCCUUUAUCACAACCGUCUGAAAUUGUGUCGAAAUCGAUGUCGGAGUUGAGUAAUUCGGGUUUCAUGGUUUCGGAGAUGAAGACAGUGGUGGCAAAGGUUGCUUUGAGUCCUUUGGAGGAUAAGCGUUUGGAGAAUUGAAGCAUUGGGUUAAUAUGGCCUUGGCUUGGAUAAGGAAUGACCAAUACAUGAACCCUUUUGUUAGCUUUUUUCUCCAUUGGUUUUUGUUCUCCAAUAUAAUUUAUGAUCUUCAAGAAUAUUGGAGUAUGCUAUUUAUAUUGGUAGAGUGUGUAAGACCACGACUAAUCUUAAAAGGAGUGGAUGGGAAAAGGAUUAUGUCAUAUCAAUGGAUAGAGCUCUAUCGUCCCAAUUAUAGGGAAACAAUAAAGUAACGAGCUUUUCUUUGAGUUGUUUAUCUUCAUAACCGAUCGAGUAUAUUUUUUGAUACAAUGUAUAGAAUUAUUAAUAACUCCUAACCCUUAAAUAAGUGAAUAAACGCGUUUCAACACACUCGAACUCACGUCGUCCUACAUUGCCAAUAAUAUUCACACCAAUCGAACCAAUACUGAAUUGACACAUAUUAAAUAUAUUUUGAAAUAUCAAUCAAUAUCAAAAUAUGAGUAAAAAAUAAAACGAUAUAUAGGUUUACAAGUGUGGAAGGAUUUUGAUCAUAGGAUCUCAGAAAAAUAUAGAUAAGAUGAUUUCAUCCACACAAAAUAUAGGCAAUAUUUUCAACUUUACACCGAAUACAAACAAUGUUCCUUGAUUGAAUCUAAAAUUAUUGAACCAUCCAUCCCUUUCAUGAUAAUGAUACCUUUUGGGUUAAAACGUUAAAUAAUUCAACAAAUAUUCUUCUACCACAUACUAUACGUAGACUUGUACAGCCCGACCCGAAGGUCUGUCCGAAAAAUAAAAAUAUUUGGAUAAAAAUAUAAGCUUAAUUGCUUAUAAGAUGAGUUUCGGUAAAAAAAUAAGGCUCGUUUAGAAAACGGGUUGAGUCCUAGGUAAAGUUUUUUGGCCCCGAGCCUGGCCCAGAUACAUGUCUAAAAGCAUCGAUACCCUUAACAAAGUAUUUGUACUUUCACAAAAGUAUUGAUACCCUGCUUAAGGUUAGAUGUUUUGAAAAUUAAAGAAAAAUUGCUUGAGUGUCGAUACCCUCUCUAAGGUGUUGAUACCACAUAAUGUAUCGAGAUUAUAGGUUUUAAUACAGGUCAGGUCAGUCCGGGCCCGAGGUUAGCAUAUAUAAUCUAGGCCGGGUUUGGGUAAAAAUUUACACCCAAUUUGGGCUGAACUUAAAAUUUUGUUGAAACUCGGCCUGACACAUGGAUAACUCUAAUCACAUAUAUUUCUUUUUACCUCGUUCCGUAUUAAAUUUUGAUUAAUUUAGAGUUAAAUUUUUAAAUAAGAAGCAAAACUCUUUUAACAUCGUUGUCUCCGUUUAUAAAAUUUGAAUUUUAAAACAAAGAUAUAAGUUUCUUAUCUCUCGACAUAAUAAGCAUUGAUAGAGACAAUGAUGAAUCCAGUACAUAUUAUAAAAGAAGUCAAAAAUAUUACUAAUGGCAGCAAUAGAACCACUUGUUCCCUUUGUAUCAAAUUUUCAAUUUUAUAACAUUUUAUUUUUUAUUUUUUAUAUGUCAUAUGAAUAUUAAAAAUAUAACAUUAUAAUAUAAAUAUUAAAUAAUAUUUACGCUUAAAUAUUAUAAAAUUCAGUCCAUGCAAAAAAUGUUUAUCAGGAAUUUUGAGAACUCUUUACAUCCAUUGUACCAGAGCCGAAUAAUCAUAUCGAUUUAAGAAAUUUUGAGUGAAAUUUGUGUUCAAUUUGAUCAUAAUUGAGUCACUCUAGUUUUUACCUAUUUUCUAAUAACAUAUAAUAUGUGUUAUUGCAUAAAUCAAUUGAACUAAGUCUCGGAUUUGUGAUUUUAAGUAUUUUGUUUACUAAGAACACUAACCCUAUUUACAUCGUGCCAAUAUUUUAGAGACCAAUUCAUCAAUAUUCUUGUCCGAACUUCCACCUUCGCACACUGCUUCCACAGCCAAUUCCUUCCAUUUCAUAGCAUUUCUUUUCAUUUCAAUCCCUUGUUCCCCUUCCAUCACUUGUCUAAUACACCUCUCUAUUUCAUCUCCACUCACAAUCCCAUCCUCCCUCACAUUAACUCGAACCCCAACUUUCCAAACAUCCUCAACUAGCUUAGCAUCCGUGGUUUGGUCGGCCCACUGUGGCAUCGCCACCAUCGGUACCCCCAAACACAAGGCCUCAAUCGUCGAGUUCCACCCACAAUGCGUGAAAAAACACCCUAUGGCCUCAUUCGCAAGUACCUCGGUUUGUGGUAUCCAAGUAACUAUCAAUGCUUUAUCACCCAUUUCCUCAAUGAACCCGUGUGGGACUUUCGGUAACUCGGAAGACCGAACCACCCACAAGAGAUGAAACCCAGUUUGCUUUAAACCCCAUGCGAGUUCCUUCAUUUGGUUGCUGGUUAGGUUAGCCAAGCUUCCAAAUGAGACGUAAACGACCGAGCAUGGUGGCUUGGUGGUUAGCCAACAUGUACUGGUAGAGUCUAGUUUAAAGAGAUUGAGAUCGUAAUCUUUGUCGUUUUCAAGUCUUU